rnacentral:rRNA from 1 species
AGUGAACGCUGGCGGUAGGCCUAACACAUGCAAGUCGAACGGCAGCACAGUAAGAGCUUGCUCUUACGGGUGGCGAGUGGCGGACGGGUGAGGAAUACAUCGGAAUCUACUUUUUCGUGGGGGAUAACGUAGGGAAACUUACGCUAAUACCGCAUACGACCUACGGGUGAAAGCAGGGGAUCUUCGGACCUUGCGCGAUUGAAUGAGCCGAUGUCGGAUUAGCUAGUUGGCGGGGUAAAGGCCCACCAAGGCGACGAUCCGUAGCUGGUCUGAGAGGAUGAUCAGCCACACUGGAACUGAGACACGGUCCAGACUCCUACGGGAGGCAGCAGUGGGGAAUAUUUGACAAUGGGCGCAAGCCUGAUCCAGCCAUACCGCGUGGGUGAAGAAGGCCUUCGGGUUGUAAAGCCCUUUUGUUGGGAAAGAAAAGCAGCAGGUUAAAACCCCGCUGUUCUGACGGUACCCAAAGAAUAAGCACCGGCUAACUUCGUG